rnacentral:rRNA from 1 species
UACAGAGGUCUCAAGCGUUGUUCGGAUUCAUUGGGCGUAAAGGGUGCGUAGGUGGCGCUGUAAGUCGGGUGUGAAAUUUCGGGGCUUAACCCCGAAACUGCAUUCGAUACUGCGGUGCUUGAGGACUGGAGAGGAGACUGGAAUUCAUGGUGUAGCAGUGAAAUGCGUAGAGAUCAUGAGGAAGACCAGUGGCGAAGGCGGGUCUCUGGACAGUUCCUGACACUGAGGCACGAAGGCCAGGGGAGCAAACGGG